GAUUCUUGUCUGUUGUCGCCAAUCACUCUGCCGAGAGUUCACUUGAAUUUUCUCUCAUCAUCAUUUUUGGAGCCAUAAACCAAAUUUAAGCCUUGUACAAAAGAGGUUCGAAGAUGGCGGCAGCCAAGGUCAAGAAGACCACGAUCUAAAAUCUCAACACCGUAAAACUCUGACGAAAAUUUCGAAUUCUGAACUUACUUCUCUC